AGGCAGCAGUAGGGAAUAUUGGACAAUGGGCGCAAGCCUGAUCCAGCCAUGCCGCGUGAGUGAAGAAGGCCCUCGGGUUGUAAAGCUCUUUUGUCCGGAAAGAAAAGCAUCGGGUUAAUACCCCGGUGUUCUGACGGUACCGGAAGAAUAAGCACCGGCUAACUUCGUGCCAGCAGCCGCGGUAAUACGAAGGGUGCAAGCGUUACUCGGAAUUACUGGGCGUAAAGCGUGCGUAGGUGGUUUGUUAAGUCUGAUGUGAAAGCCCUGGGCUCAACCUGGGAAUGGCAUUGGAAACUGGCGGACUGGAGUGCGGUAGAGGGAAGGGGAAUUCCCGGUGUAGCAGUGAAAUGCGUAGAGAUCGGGAGGAACACCCGUGGCGAAGGCGGCUACCUGGACCAGCACUGACACUGAGGCACGAAAGCGUGGGGAGCAAACAGGAUUAGAUACCCCGGUAGUCCACGCCCUAAACGAUGCGAACUGGAUGUGGGGUGCAACUUGGCGCUCAGUAUCGAAGCUAACGCGU
rnacentral:rRNA from 1 species